AUGACCUUCAUCAUCAUCUUCAUCUGGACUCUCUUAUACUGCUUUAUACUACAAGGCUGUAGAGCUCAGAUCACAGUGACUCAGACUCCUGCAGUGAAAACUGUUAAACCAGGAGAAACUGUUGAGAUGAGCUGUAAACUCAGUACUGCUGCUGCAUCCUGUGGCUCGACACCCUGUGUGAGCUGGUACUUACAGAAACCUGGAGAAGCUCCUAAACUCGUGAUUUAUUACACAAACCGCCUCCAGUCUAGCCUGUCAGGAACUCCAUCUAGAUUCAGUGGCAGUGGAUCUAACAGUGAUUUCACUCUGACCAUCAGUGGAGUCCAGACUGAAGAUGCUGGACAUUAUUACUGUCAGAGUCGCCACAGUGGUGAUGUGUUCACACAGUGA